CAACAUAGUCAAUAGUGGAUCAUAGACUACUUGAAAUUGUGUGUCCAACUUUAGGUAAGCAAUAUUAUGAGUGGUCUUGUACUAUCCUAUUUCUUAAUGUUAUCUUUCCUUUGUUCUAGGUGAAGAAGAAGAAAGCUUCACAUGCUGGCAUGUUUGAUAUAGCAAAGACUACAAAUAGGCCCAUGAUACAUAUUGGUGGAUAAGGUAUCACACAGUGAUAAAGUUACUUACAUAGCAGGCAACCAGAGUAGUCCUAGUGAGAAGUACCCUGAAUUGAGUAUUAUCUGAGAUCUUCAUUGAUACAAUCUCACUACAUGAAGGGUGAUAGAUUUUUCAACUAUACCUAGCCACAUAUACUGUUAAAUGUUGUUCCUUUGGAUAGAACCCAUUGUUGUUGUAUCGAGUAAUAAUGCAAAUUUGGGCUUAAAUUUUCUGAUCA